GGUUCAUUGGUUUCCACGAGUUAUAGAAAAUCUGCUAUGUUGGACCCAUCUGAUCUCAGUUUUCCAGCUCGAAAACCACACGGUAACUAACGUAAGUUGAACGAACCCUGCCCUAAACUCUUCUAGUCAACAAUGGCUUCUCUGUCCAGAUUUAUUGGGAAACAAUGUAAAUUGCAGUGUUCAGACACACUUCAGAGACCAAGUUAUGGGUUUUGUGUUAGAAGGAGUCCGACCCAUUUGAGUAUGGGUAUGAGAAAUAAAGAUGAGAUUGGAAGAUAUAAUUUGUUCAUCAAUCAAAAUCAAAGUAAGACUUCCCUAGUUCAAUCCCCGUGCAAUCGCAAAAUAGUAUGUUGCGAGGCAGCAUCAAAUGUGUCUGGGGAAAGCUCUUCCACUGGAAUGACCCAAUAUGAGAAAAUAAUUGAGACUUUGACCACCCUUUUUCCUCUAUGGGUUAUAUUGGGUACAAUCAUUGGCAUAUAUAAACCUUCUGCGGUCACUUGGUUGGAAACAGAUCUCUUCACUCUGGGUUUGGGAUUUCUAAUGCUUUCAAUGGGUUUGACACUAACAUUUGACGACUUCCGAAGAUGUUUAAGGAACCCAUGGACUGUAGGUGUUGGAUUUCUCGCUCAGUACUUCAUUAAACCACUCUUAGGCUUCACCAUAGCAAUGGCUCUAAAGUUGUCCGCCCCACUUGCUACUGGUCUGAUCUUGGUGUCAUGCUGUCCUGGAGGCCAAGCUUCUAAUGUGGCAACAUAUAUUUCAAAGGGGAAUGUAGCCCUCUCUGUUCUAAUGACAACGUGUUCAACAGUUGGAGCUAUUGUGAUGACACCCCUGCUGACUAAGCUUUUAGCUGGUCAGCUUGUCCCAGUUGAUGCUGCCGGUCUUGCUAUCAGCACCUUUCAAGUUGUGCUAGUGCCAACAGUUAUUGGAGUUCUAUCAAAUGAGUUUUUUCCUAAGUUUACGUCAAAAAUCGUCACCAUCACACCUUUAAUUGGAGUUAUUCUGACUACUCUUCUUUGUGCUAGUCCGAUUGGUCAAGUCGCAGAUGUGCUGAAAACUCAGGGAGCACAGUUACUUCUCCCUGUGGCGGCCUUGCAUGCUGCAGCAUUUUUUCUGGGUUACCAGAUUUCAAAAUUUUCAUUUGGUGAAUCAACAUCCAGAACUAUUUCGAUAGAAUGUGGAAUGCAGAGUUCGGCACUCGGAUUUCUACUUGCACAAAAGCAUUU
rnacentral:misc_RNA from 1 species